CUCACUCCGUGCCGCGGCGUUUUGCUGCGGUUGCGCUGCAGUUGGACGGCUCCCUCGAUAAGGAUUUAUUUCUAGUAGUGGGAGAGUUUGGAGCUUGGGGAAAUGGGAUGGGUUUUGGUAACGUCUCUCAAGGGCGCCAGAGUUUUUACUCUGGUUUUUUUGAGUAUCAUUUGAGAUGGGAAACUAGGUUCUUCUCAGUGGAAUUCAGUAAUUGAACUGUGUGAUUUCACUGACUUAAUGAUUAAAAUAGUAGUGCAUAUAUUUCAUGUCCCAAAAGCUAAAAAUAAUUUCUGUUCUUCAGUUAUAAAUGUUGGAGAAAUUUCACCUCAUCCAAAAUCAGCAGAAAAGCUUUGUUUUCAGUGGGACAAGGGGCUGAGCAAAAGGUAAAAAGUACCCAUCAACGAUCAAUUCCCAGUCCCUGUGCCUAUGACUUCUCAGAUAGGCUGUCAUGAUGGUGGCUUCUUUUGUUGCUACACGAUUUGUUUUUUGGCAAAAAUUCCUAAUCUGCACUCCCCAUUUUCUACUUACCUAAAUAUCUUUGAGUACAGACCAAGAUGCAAACUGUAAGUUGCAUUCUGUCACUAUCUCUAAAAGAUAAAAGUUUUAUUUAAAGAUAAAACUAUUUGUAGAAAUUCAUUCCUUCAGUGGACCCAAUGCUGAGAAGCAGUAUGUCCCAAGGAGGGAGAUCAGCUACUGACCACCCCUACACAUUUAGAAAUGUAUCUCCCAGCUGUGUCUGGCAAAUUUGUGGAGACACUUCAAUGUUAUUACAGAUGUUCUUUGAUCCAGAAAGAAUAAAGAUGGUUUUAGAUCUUUAUUGAACAGCUAACAAAGAAAAAAUAAUUUGUAUUCGAAAUAGUGUAAGAUAUACAAUAAUGUAAAAUAAAUUUAAUGAGAAAGAGAUUUAUGCUGUAACAAUUGAACAUGUAAAAUGGGAUAUCAAGGCUUUGUGCUGGCAGUGUGACCUACUCAAGACACUUAAACUCUCUCCAGACCAUUGGCUAAUUUUUGGGAAAAGGUAAUUUCACCUAAUAUUUAGUCAGCAUUGUAGCCUCUUCUGCAUCGGUGUUUGCAGCUUAUAUGUGACCCCAGGAAAAGACACUCAUGGACUUCAGCGAGUAGAGUUUACCUUUGGCAGAGGUAACAAAUAGUGGGGCUUGGACAAGCACUACAGGGAGUUUGCCAAUAACUGCUCAUGAAUGUGGGCUCAAGUGCAUUAAUUCCUCCAAGUGAAAAGGUCAGGAGAAGGCUGUGACCACAGAGUGAAUUCCACACAGUAGUCUUCCAGAGAAGGUGCCCUUGAGGACACUUCUUUGGGUUUGGACAUGCUGAUCUCCAGACGUCCCAUCCAAUCCUAACAAUUCCGAUUCUGUGAUUCCCUGCUGGUGCCACCACUAACAUCCACUUUCCAGUGUCAUUCCCAAAGAUAGGUUUGUCCAGAAAGAUAUUGCCAUGUACAAUGAGGCCUGAAAAAAAUGUCCUUGCAAAGAACAAACCCUGAGAUGCUCUUCUGGGUUUUGUGUGGCCACAGUGGAGAGGGUGAAGGACAGAACAAUCUCCACUUGGAGACUUUUAAGGGCAUUCCUCACUCUGAGAGCAGGCAACCAUAGGUAGUGCUUAUGGCAAGCAUUUACAAGGAUUCCAUUGUUAAACCUCUUUGAAAGCCUCUGGGGCUGUAACUCAUAAUGUCAGUUAAGAUAGGUCUCUCUGAGCUUCCAGUUCAGAUGCUAUGUUUAGGAUACUGGUGCUGCACUAGCUAUUCCGAGCUGUCCCAGGUUGUGUGUUUGGGCACUGCUUUGGUAGUAUGGAUACAGAGGUGUGGCUCAACAAGCAUUCAGCAGAAAAAGAUAAUUUGCAAAGUUUCUAUAAGAGCUCUUGCCCUUAACUUAUUCUACAUUCAUCUUUGAUAUAUUGUUUUUCAGGAUGAGAUUGGAAAGUAAGCUGGGAAGGCAGAAGCAGAUUGUACUUCCUACACUGAGAAACAUGGAUAGACUCAUCCUGUACACAGCUGACCAGUAUUGUUAAAGCUGAGACCAUACUCACAAGUGUGUGUGCCCUCUCAGCAGAAGCAGCAUGUGGACAAGAAGAGCUUAUUAUCUACAGUAACUGGUUGAUUUCUCUUUUCUUUUUCAGAGGAUAGAGGCUGGGGAAACAGCUGGUUGUAAGUUUAUCUGGAAUUUACAGAAUUGUCUUUAGAGGCCGAGGGCCCCCAAAGUGUUCUGUAAAAGGAAAAUGGAGAGAAAAAGACUUAAAUUCUUAGAGUGUGUGGAUACAUUUGGUUAGAAGAUGAACAUGAGAAGUCUGAAAAACAGACAUGGCACUACUUCAUGGAAAAAUAAGAGGCAACUUAACUGCUAUGAUGGACAAAAGAGGAACAUUCUGUAUUAACUAAUUUGGUAGAGGAGAAGCAGCUUCUUGGUCUUAAACAAAUGAGAGCUUGAUGCAGGAAGAACUUCGAAAUAUUUGGUAGAGCCACAUGUGACUGAUCAAAAUAUUCACCCUAAGCACACAAAACAGGAGUGUUAAGAUUUGCCAGAUAUGGGACUCACCUGCAGCAGAAUGCGGCCUUAACAGAACUUUGGAGACCCUUCCAAUGGAAGGUGGUUUUCCUCACAAAGGACAACCACUUUGGAGACCUUGAUCCAGUUUCUACAACAAAUGAAGGACCCCUGGCUUGAGCAAGUGCAUGACAAUUCUUAGGAUGCCUGUGCUGAAAUGGUCCUUCUCUUAAUGGACCUUGAUGGAGUUUGGUUUCAUUUGUUCCAGAAUGGGAUUGCCCUUCUUGCAGUUGCUGCAGGUUCAUGAUCUGGACCCAACCCCAGGACUCGAGCAGGACUGAAGGACACAUGCAAGUGGUAAGAAGCUGGAUCAUCUUUCUUCAUCUGCUCACUGUCUUCACAGAAUUUGCAAGUGUGAAAAAGUAUUUCAUCCCUUUACAGGAUUAGGAUGAGGAUUUCCCUCUCCUUGAGGUGCUGCUGGCUGGUUCACUGCCUGCUGGAGGGUGUUUCCAAGACCUGACUUAACCUGAAGCAUGCACUUCCUCAGGAGGUCUGCAGCAGGGCUGGAGGACUGCCAACACUGCAUCCCUUCCCUCGUGUCACCUGCUGCCACAUGACUGCAGUGCUUGUGCUGUGCUCUCAGCUCCCUCACACUGAAAUGUUCCUCCUGGUGGUUUGUAAGGAGCUGCCAUGGAGCAGGCUUUGCUUUUGGUAGCAGUAUUCUUUGUUGCCAUGCCAUUCAUGAAGAAGAUGGCUUUAUCCUUGCCUUUAUUCCUUUAUUCCACUGGGACCAGCUGCUCUACCCACAGGCACCAAAAGUGGCAAAUCUUCCAUAACCUUUUUUAAUUUUCAAUUGAAGCUCUGCAUCACGUGAACUUCUUGGGGUUUUUUGAGAGGUAAAAACUUUUUUUUUUUUUUUAAGAAACAACACCAAAUAAAAACCCAAACCACAGCCCAACAAACCCAAAACUAACAGGAAAAAAAUCACCCACACAUAAACCCAAGGAGAAACAACUGCACUGUGUGACUGAUACAGUCCAUGGGAGUACAAAGCAUUCCAGUCUGAUCUUGCACAUCCACUCCCUAUGCCUAUUAAUAGCUUUUAGGCAUGGGCGUAGACAUGGAGAUGGACAAGAGUAGUUCACCAUGCAAACAUUUAUCUGGGAGCCAUACUGUUUUCUAGAACUAAAGAUUUCAGUGUGAUAAAGUGGACAUUUUAAAGCAUUGGUGGAGAUAUGGGGGAUGUAACUGCCCUUAAACUGAGGUUGGGUUAGGCAUUCUCACAUCUUGGAGUCUGCCAGUAAAUAGCAAAAUAUAUGAGCAAUGGAAAUAUGUCCUUCUUAAUCUGUAAAAAGAAAAAGACUGUUUUGAAAGUCCAUCAAUCUUUCAAAUCAUCUUAAGGCAUAUUGAUCCUGGAUCAUCACAGGGGAAUUCAACAGGGGUGUUCUUGUUAGUGAUCUAAAAACAUAAAUGUGGUUGAAUGCAUGCAAAACUGUAUCUUAUUCCAGUUGUCUUUAUUACUACAAUAAAUGAUACCAACUCUCUCUUCCUACAGACUUUA